GUUAACUCAUGACGCAUGUUGGGCAUAAAUGGUUGCUGCUGGGGGAAACUGACAAGGAUGCAAAGGCAGAUUCACGGACCAUUUAGUAAUUAAAUCAAAUGAACAGAUUGAACAAACAGAACCUGACGUCAUUUUCCCAGCAGGGUCUACCUGCUGGGUCACGACUGGCAACGUGAGGGAAAACGUCUUUUAAGUGGCUGCAGACGCAGACGCUGCGGCGGGUGUGGAAGUGAAACAUGUGCUGGCUCCAGCCCCGAGGCGUGGAUGGCCCAAUUAGAUGCUCUCUUACCUCUACUGGCUGAAGUUCUCGAGGGGGGUCACCGAGGUCAGGGGUUAUUUAGGGUCCGACCUGCAUUGACUUCCUAACGCGAAACUGAUGAGUUGGACAGCCUAUAUCAGGAGCGUUCGUAGAGACGCUAAAUGGUUUUAGCAGAGUUUUUCCCUCACUUGUACGUCUUGAAGCUGUUGCUGUCUAACAUCGUGGUUUUCAACCUGUAGCACAAGAAUCUGAUGGGAAUUAUUUGCAAAGAGACUUCUCAAACCGAAGGUGCAAUAAAAAAAAAAAAAGAAAACUGGCAGUUCCCUGAAGCGGAUGACAACAAGCCAGGAACAAGUGCCGGAAAAGGCAGAAGAAAUCUAUUGGGGACAUGAAUGUGGCACGAGAUGAAGACGGUUCCUUGUGUCUGAGUCCGUGG